GGCGACAUAGCCAAGCGGUAAGGCCAGGGUCUGCAAAACCCUCAUCCCCCGGUUCGAGUCCGGGUGUCGCCUCCA
rnacentral:tRNA from 1 species